rnacentral:misc_RNA from 1 species
AAGUCGUAACAAGGUAACCGUAGGUGAACCUGCGGUUGGAUCAUUAGCGGUAGGAAGCCCGCGCCGUUGUAGUGUUUCUGGUGUUGUUGUUGGUGUGGUUGUCUUUGUGUACACUGGCACUGCUGGUGUUUCACUGGCCUUUGUCUUUGUUUCACUGGCAUUUGUCUUUGUGAAUACACUAACAUUUGUCUUUGUGAUACACUAACAUUUGUUGGUGUGACACUAACAAUAGUUGCUGUGCACUAACAAUAGUUGCUGUGCACUACAAACUACUCCAAACCCCUCAACAACCGCACCAGACUAAACGUCUUUGCUUGCUUUGAUGAAACCAAAUCAAAAACAACUUUUGACAACGGAUCUCUUGGCUCUC